ensembl:lncRNA
GCUGGGGGCCCCUCUGGUCCCGCUUCCUUAACUCUGGGUCCUCGGGGACUAGGAGACCAGAGAGGGCGGGAGCUCACGCAGGUCACCCAGCCCGGGCCUCUGCCUCGGGAGGGGGGGGGAGGGGCGGGCAGAAGCUUCCAGAAGCAGCCGCCCUCUGCUGGUGGGGGGGGACGGUGCAGGCACUCCCGGAAGGAAGGCCCUGAACGCCGCGCACACUGCCUGCCGCUCCCUCCCGGGUCAGGAACACACCUCCCCGGCUUUGGGCGACCCACUGGAGAAAUGAAGGCCCUGCUGACUGUCCUGCUUGUGGCCCUCUGUUUUCAGGAGAGCCUCGGCACAUUCCCUACUCUGCAGCCAGGUGAGAUCUCUGAAUGGCAGCAAGGGAGAGCCAGGAGCACAGGAAAGCACUUCCUUACGUCAACUUUGAGGGAAAACGUAGUCCUGGAUGGGGCCUGUCCCCGUACUCUCCUGCAGAUGAGGAAACUGAGGCAGAAGGGAGUUCAGUGGUUGCCCAUGAAGCCAUCCUGACAUCCUGCAUUGCUCCCCUCACAUGUCAGGUGGCGUUUUAUGUACUCCUCCCCAAGGCACUCAGCAUGUAAUCAGGCCCAUCCACCAGAGUUGUAUGAGUUUGUGCAGGAUCCACUUAUUAGAUUAAGCUCCUGGAAGGUAAGAACUGUGCCUGAAUCAAAUAACUGUAUCUCUCAGCACUAAGCAAUGGGAUCCUGCACACAGUAGGCGCUUUAUAAAUGAAUGGAAAAGCAUUUAUAAAAUACUCGCUAUGCACUGCGCACUAUGCCAAGGGUCAGGGAGGCAAAAAGAAAAAACAAGACAGUCCCUAUUGUUAAGGAACUCACAUCAACAUUUAGCUCAAGGCACUUGCUCCUUGACUUGAUACCUUUAACUGGGAAGAAACUUCAGUUACAGGGCAAAUAGAAGGGCUCAGAAGGCCUAAGGCAAGGCCCGGGGUCCUGAGAUUCCAUCAGCAGGUCAGAUGACAGCACCUGGAGAGACAAGGUGGAUAGUCAGCCCUGGGGAUCCUCCGUUAUUCUCCCCAGGAGAAAUGGUCAUUCAGACCACGGGAGCAGUCAAGAAGCACAGAUGGACCCAGGAUCAGGGAAGGAGAUGGAGGGGGAAGAAAAAGAGAAAGAAUAUCUUCCCUGGUGGGAAGAACCUGACGCCGAACCCUCCUCAGUGAAUAUUAAAUGAAUGAAUGAGUCAAUGGACGGAUGGGCCAAGAAAUGAAUAAAUGAGAAAUAAAUAAAAUCAGCAAUUAACUGAGUUGUGCAUUGUCUUCUCUUGGAACAGUAAAACCGAUUUUAUGCUACGAGUGCUCACAGUCUGGAACCUUCAAAUGUGAUGAUACCAAAGUGUGUAACAGCACUUCUGGCUUCUGCCAUCUGCUCACCUAGGGUGAGUUGCCAUGGCUUUUUGUUUGUUUGUUUUACCAUAACUCAGGUAGAACGUUCUCACCUGAGAGCAGUUCUGGAAGAAAUGUGGGAAUUUUCUGAGGCUAACCGGUUGAAAGUAAGGUCAUGCAAACAGUGAAACCCUGCUUGGGGAGAAUUACAGAGUCCUGGAGAGCCAUCCUAUUCUUCCCAUAUUCCCCAGAUAAAGUUUGGCUGAUGUUAACAAUGGCUGCAGUAAAAGUUCUGUGUCAUGAGGUAGCAAUUAAGAAAGCACUGGGCCUUGAGUCAGGAAGACUAAGUCCAAAUGUGACUUUGUCUUUGACUGAUUUCUGUGUUACGUUUAAAUGAAUUGGUCCGGUAACCAGCUGGUGUGGUUACAGAACAUGCUGACCUUCUUGUUUGGGUUUGGGCCAUUACAACUAGAAUCCUAUCAAUAAUACCUACCUUCCAAGGUUAUUGUGAGGAUCAAAUGAGAUAGAAGCUGAUUGAACUCGGUCCACAAAGGGCUAAAGUAAGAAUUAACAGAUAGAAGUAAGAGAAAUUCAGGACAACCCAAAUGGUCUUGUAAAGAACCCCCACUUUAGUGUAAGGCUUGGCUCAAAAUGAAUAAUGAUAUUAUUUCAAAUGGUGACUCCAGUCUGAGGGAGGAGUGGAAGUGAUAUGUCUGCAUUGGGUUGGGUUCUGGCCAAUCUAUUUCUAGAUGCAAAUACAUGGCUAGUGAAUUUAAGAAAAAAGGCUUCUAUGAUUACCGAAAUCUUUUUUUCUCUCUCCUCUCUUAUUAUAGAAGGACAAGACGGCAAAACAUAUUAAAGAAUCCUGUGCAACUGACUGUGGGUUCCCUUCAGUGAUCUUCACUGGUACAAAGAAUUAUUUUGCUUUGUGCUGUAGUUUCCAAUUUUGCAAUACUUUACGGUACUCCCAAGAGGUAAUAGAAAAUCAUACCAACAUCCCAAUAUCAGGCUUCACAGCUAGUCUCUUCUGGGCUUGCUUCAGGAUUAUACUGCAAUUUAUUGGGCUGGGAGAUUGAAACUACCCCCUCCCACCUCCUGCCCCCAAAUUUGAUCACGUUCCUUCAGUAAGAAUAGAAUCUCUUUCCUGCCUGGCUUUGUAAUUGGUCUCUCAAAAUCCCAUGGUUAAAUAUGGUGAUAUUUGAUAAAUAUGGUAAAAAUUGUUGUAUGGGAGUUUCUCCCUAUAAUUCAGCAUCUCUUAAUGGCUGGACUUUGGAAGUGAUUCCUUGAGAAAACUUUUUAAAAAGGGUACUGGUUCUCACCCAACUUCAACACAGACUGACACUAUAUGAUACUGGGCAAAAUCACCAACCUUUAGCUUUUCCAUCUGAGAAAUAGGGAAAGCAGGGGCUUCUCAUACUUUGGGAACUUCUGGGAAACUUCAAGAUGAAAUCAGAGAAUCAAUUCUGAGAUCUCAUCCAUUAGGAACAUAUUCUCUGGGAACUUUAGGUCACAGGCUAAUCCUUUUGAGACCUUGAAGUUUAAUAAUAAUCAUAGACAUUUUUCUAGGUCUUUCUUCACAAUAGCCUUGAGAAAGCUGAGAGUACAAUGUGCAUUAAUCUUGGUUUUUUUUGGGGUGGGGGGAGGAAGAAACUGAGACUUAGAGGAAUAAAAUGACUGUCUAGAGACUGCCCAGAAAACUGGAAUUCCAUCCUGGGUCCCUAAUCAUCAAUUUCAAUGUUUUGCCUCUAUAUCCUCUGCCAGUAACCCGUCCUUUGUAAUGUGUUUAUGUGUUUUGUUUUAUUUAUUAUUAUUAUUAUUUUAUCUUCUUUGAACUUUUGUUUUCUGAGGAAAGUGCUGGUGAAAAGUCUUGGACAGACACUGAUUAAAUUUUUCUUUACCACUAUGUACUUCUUUCUUCCUCCACUUCUUCACUGUGGUGGUCUAAUCACAUUGCACAUCCCCUGGUAAUUCUCUUUGUCUUCUCUUUCCCAUGGGGCCUGUAAGAUUUGGUUAUUGUCUUUAUUCUUCAAACAAUCGCCUAAAAUAAAAUACUUUGCUUUUCAAUUAAUCAAUUAACAAAGUUGUUGUUGUUGUUGUUUUUUUAAAUCACCUACUAUGUGCCAGGCACUAGAAAAGGUAAGAGAAGUACAAGUACAAAGCCUAAAUUUCUCUAUUCUACUCUCCAAGUUCCUACACUCAUUGGGGGAGACAAUAAGCACAUAUAUAAGAAUAUACAGAGUAAAUAAGGACAGCUAGGUUGCACAGAUGGAUAGAGGAGUGGAGUCAGGAAGUCUCAUCUUCCUUAAUUCGAAUCCUGCCUCAGACACUUCCUGGCUGAGUGACCCUGGGCAAGCCACUUACCCCUGAGUAUCUCUGCUAAGAAAAUUCUAAAUAGUUCAAGAAGAGUUGGAUAUGAUUAAAGCAACUAAACAACAAUGGAAUAAUGAAAAGGGAAUAAAUGAAAAAUAGCUAAGGUACAAGGUGUUUGGGGAAGGAAGGCGCUAGCAGUUGGGGGAAUCAGGGAAGGUUUCUUGGAGAAGAUAGUGCUAAAGCUGCAUCUUAAAGCAAGAAAGGAAUUCCAAGCAGUGCAGGUGAGGAGGGAAUGCUUCCAAGUGCAGGAGAAGACCUGCACAGAAGUGGGGGUUUUUAAAGGAUUAUUUCUUGCUGAAUGGAAUGGAGUAGUUGGGGAGAACUUCAUGAAGUUACCUCCUCUUCCCUCUCACAGGAAAACUUAGGUGAUAUAGUAGCAAGACCAUUAUUACCUGAUAAGAGGAAGUAGUCUUCUAUUAUUUGGAGUUCCCUCUCAUGCUUCAGUUUGUCAAUGUCCCUCCUACAAUAUAGUGCCAAGAUUAGAAAUAAUAAU